GACGAACGCUGGCGGCGUGCCUAAUACAUGCAAGUCGAACGGUCUUUUCUAUGGAAGCUUGCUUCCACUGAGAAGAUAGUGGCGAACGGGUGAGUAACACGUGGGUAACCUGCCCAUAAGAGGGGGAUAACAUCCGGAAACGGGUGCUAAUACCGCAUAGUUUCUUGAUCGCAUGAUUGAGAAAGGAAAGACGGCCUUUGUGCUGUCGCUUAUGGAUGGACCCGCGGCGUAUUAGUUAGUUGGUGAGGUAACGGCUCACCAAGACGAUGAUACGUAGCCGACCUGAGAGGGUGAUCGGCCACAUUGGGACUGAGACAUGGCCCAAACUCCUACGGGAGGCAGCAGUAGGGAAUCUUCCGCAAUGGACGAAAGUCUGACGGAGCAACGCCGCGUGAGUGAAGAAGGUUUUCGGAUCGUAAAACUCUGUUGUCAGAGAAGAACAAGUUGGAGAGUAACUGCUCCAGCCUUGACGGUAUCUGACCAGAAAGCCACGGCUAACU
rnacentral:rRNA from 1 species